rnacentral:tRNA from 1 species
UCCCUGAUGGCUCAGACGGUAAAGCAUCUGCCUGCAAUGCGGGAGACCCAGGUUCGAUUCCUGGGUCGGGAA